rnacentral:rRNA from 1 species
GAUGAACGCUGGCGGCGUGCCUAAUACAUGCAAGUCGAGCGAACGGACGAGAAGCUUGCUUCUCUGAUGUUAGCGGCGGACGGGUGAGUAACACGUGGAUAACCUACCUAUAAGACUGGGAUAACUUCGGGAAACCGGAGCUAAUACCGGAUAAUAUUUUGAACCGCAUGGUUCAAAAGUGAAAGACGGUCUUGCUGUCACUUAUAGAUGGAUCCGCGCUGCAUUAGCUAGUUGGUAAGGUAACGGCUUACCAAGGCAACGAUGCAUAGCCGACCUGAGAGGGGGAUCGGCCACACUGGAACGGAGACACGGUCCAGACUCCUACGGGAGGCAGCAGUAGGGAAUCUUCCGCAAAGGGCGAAAGCCUGACGGAGCAACGCCGCGUGAGUGAUGAAGGUCUUCGGAUCGUAAAACUCUGUUAUUAGUGAAGAACAUAUGUGUAAGUAACUGUGCACAUCUUGACGGUACCUAAUCAGAAAGCCACGGCUAACUACGUG